GCGCGGCCGGAAGUGAAGGAGGACGGUCGGUCGCGGCGCGGAAGUAGCCGGGCCGAGGGGGAGGGAAGGCGGCCGAGAGCGAGCGACUGAGGAGGAUGAACAACAAAUUCGACGCUCUGAAGGACGAUGACAGUGGAGACCAUGACCAGAACGAAGAGAACGGCACACAGAAAGAUGGUGAGAAG